UCCGCCCACAGUUGAACCAAUUAGCGACCCCACUUCUAAUUGGUUCAGGAAUGGGCGGAACU
rnacentral:pre_miRNA from 1 species